CGAGUUAUCUGAACCUUCGGGGAACGAUAACGGCGUCGAGCGGCGGACGGGUGAGUAAUGCCUAGGAAAUUGCCCUGAUGUGGGGGAUAACCAUUGGAAACGAUGGCUAAUACCGCAUAAUGCCUACGGGCCAAAGAGGGGGACCUUCGGGCCUCUCGCGUCAGGAUAUGCCUAGGUGGGAUUAGCUAGUUGGUGAGGUAAGGGCUCACCAAGGCGACGAUCCCUAGCUGGUCUGAGAGGAUGAUCAGCCACACUGGAACUGAGACACGGUCCAGACUCCUACGGGAGGCAGCAGUGGGGAAUAUUGCACAAUGGGCGCAAGCCUGAUGCAGCCAUGCCGCGUGUGUGAAGAAGGCCUUCGGGUUGUAAAGCACUUUCAGUCGUGAGGAAGGUAGUGUAGUUAAUAGCUGCAUUAUUUGACGUUAGCGACAGAAGAAGCACCGGCUAACUCCGUGCCAGCAGCCGCGGUAAUACGGAGGGUGCGAGCGUUAAUCGGAAUUACUGGGCGUAAAGCGCAUGCAGGUGGUUUGUUAAGUCAGAUGUGAAAGCCCG
rnacentral:rRNA from 1 species